rnacentral:lncRNA from 1 species
CCCUCUGCGCCCAAGUUAGAAAAAGCAGGGAAGUCACAUGGAAACUUGCUCGGAAUCUACGAAAGCCUGGGUGAGGUCGCAGGAAACAGGCGUCCUGGAUUAAGUUGGUUUUACAUGCACUUGACAUUUUGUCCUUUUUCACUCUUCCAGCUCUUUCCCUGCCUUGGCUUUCCUCCCUUCCUCUUCUGUCUUCCUCUAUUUAUUUAUGUAUUUACUGUCGUUACAUUCAGUACCCUGUUUCAUCCUCAUCAGUGCCUUUUUAUAACCACAGGAAAUCGCCUGAAGCAACAAGGCUUAAAAUAGACAAGAAGAGCCCUGGUUUUCGUGUCAGAAAGUCUCCAGUUGGACCAACGCCAGUGUGGACAGCUUGGAGCCCCCGAAUAAGACAUUUGGUCUCAUGUCUCACGGCUUUCUUGUGGGACAUCAAAGGCCCUGUAGAGAACAAGAUGGAGUCACUCAUGUCAAGUAGUGAUGUAAUCAGGAAAGCAGGCAAAGGUGUUGCACCUAAGACCAGAUACCACCCAACCCAGCAGACUGACCGGGACUAAGGACCGUUCAUUCAUAAGGCCACAUCAACCUGGAAGGACCAGGAGCUGAUAACCAAUAGAAUCAGAAGAGGCCUGCAAAGGCCCAAGACUGAUUGAACUCUUGAAAAGGACGGACUCUUGCAACAAAUUGUCAAAUUCUCCACACGUUGGCUCUUACACAUCUGACCACAUUUGAAAGGCCACAGCCAACAAAGGCUGUGCCUCGUUGAUCUCUGAACAUGACAGAGAUCCUUCACUGCGGUACCCACCGAGAGCUGAUCCAGACCGGACCUAGGAGCCAACCCAACUGCACGCCCGAGGAUUGACUUCGCGUUUGGUUCAUUGAUUUCUUACUCCUUAUUGUAUCUUGUGUGUUGCAUGACUUUGUCCCGUGCUUUGUUUUGUGUGCUGUGGAGGAAGCCAAGUUACACGUGCAGUGAAACGUCAUAGAGUUUGGAAUCCUGAACCUGCUUUACAAGUAUGUUAACCUUGCAUUAGGAUUGAAUAAAGCCAACACUGUAGAAAGACACAACCUCAGGAGGUGCCUUCGUAAUGUGCUUGCUACAGACCCAGAUUGAAAAAGUAAGAAAAACAGAAAAGUAACUCUGUGUUUGGCAAAACUUGAAUUUACUGAGUAGAUCCAUCUGUAGUUCUGGGAGACGGAUUUUCGCAAAAAUCACUUGCAAAACUACAUUCUUUUUCUAGCUUUUUCCAGUGCUUCAUUUCAGUGAUCCUUAUUCUCAGCUGAAGUUCAUACCUACCAGGAAUGUUGUGGGGACUAAUUAAAUAAAGUACAUUUUAACCACCAGGCAGUGCCAAGUAUUUUAUUAAAUUCUGGAAACAUUUUCCCCUUGCCUGAAGGAAAUGGAGGAAC